rnacentral:lncRNA from 1 species
UCUGAACCAAACAUCAUGCCACAUGCUUCCAAGAAGGAUCCCAUAGAUGUUCUACUUUUUCUCUUCACUGGGUUGGGAUUUGGUGUCUGCUUUGGAAUUACAAUUUUAGUGAUAUGGGGAAGCAACAACAGGAAGCAGCAAGCCUGAGAGGGAACCAUGUUAUAGAAUGGCAGAAUAUUUUGUCAGUCACUCUUGAUCACUCUAGCAACAGUCAGAAAGAGUAGUAUGAAUAGUGAUGUAUGAAUUAAAUAAAGGAUGAUUAUGUUACCAUGGAAGGAUAAUACUAUGGACAAUGUAAUUAAGCAACAAAGCAGGCAAUAUUGUAUCCAUGAAAAGAUAUGUUUACAUUUGAGAGCUAUCUAAUACUGUUGCCUAUCAACUUGUCUUUCAGAUAUUUUUACAAGGAAUCUAGUGUUUUUCAACUUGUUGCAGAUCAAGGCGUGCAAGUGAACUUAAUUUGUUUCCUUGUUUGCAUAGUUUUUCACCUAUGGAUUUAUUAAAAAGAGAUAAUUGCUUAUUUGACGCUCUUUUGUGUUGGAAAUAUAGUCAUUAAUUGGCAUGUUUUAAUCCAAAAAGUUAAAGCAAUAAUCAUGGACAAUCAAAACAAAGACUUUUCUAAACUGGACAGUGGGAGUACAUGUAUAAGUGCAAGUAGAUGUACCUGUAUUUUGUGUGCCAUAGAUCAGUACGUAGAAAACAAACCCAACCCAGCCGUACGUUCUUCAACAUGCGAUCUGCUUACCAUCUGAUGCCUCUGCUAGCCAUGCUACUCAUCCUCGUCCUUGCUGACCAUACAAGCUCCACGGAAG